rnacentral:lncRNA from 1 species
CCUCUGAUCAUUUGUGAUGGCAGAUUUGAGUAUUUUUCAGUUUCAUUUCCAGUUUUUAGCUCUAUCAUCGAGCCAUCACCCAUAAAUCUAAUGACCAGACUCACAACUGAUAGCUCCAAUUGAUUACAGCCAGCCAAUCACGCGUAGCUUUGUUGCCUCUCCGACGGUGACGUCAAAAAGUCUAUAAAAGCGUAAGCUGCAGGUUUUUUCGGGGUCUUCCUCCAUCUUGACCCAUGCCCCGCGUGUGUGCCAUGUCCACCCUUCUGGCACCUUUCUUCGUUUAACUUAAUUUAUCAUCAUUUCUUUCAGUGCACGAAUAACAAAAACUCUUCUUGUUUCGUGCUUAUACGUGACAGUUUUCCUCAUGCUUGUUUUUUAACAUUGAACACAAUAACUCUGAUUUUUUCGCAAAAAAUAGACACAGACGUUAGUACUCAAUGUUCAAGCCUUAAUGAAUUCACCGGGCAUCGCUACUUCAGUCAGAGAGCAAUUAAAAUUAUUUUUGAUGGAACUGAGAGACAAGACAAUAUCUUUUACCAUCAGCGGGUUUUUGAAACUAGAACUUCCAACAUUUGUCUCUUUUCUGAAAGGCGUUUUCACAAAUCUACUGAUUCUACUGCAGUUCUCAAACCCUGGUGACAGCUACGAAUGAAGUCUUAUAUAGUAAGGUGGGUAAUGGAAUGGAACCAUUUGAUUGUUCAGUAUUCAAAUUUAGAUCCAGCUCUACUUUCUUAAAUCGGUCUCAUCGCUAUGUUUUUAAUAUUAGUAUGUAUAAACAAGUGCCCACAGUCAUAUGAUCAAAGUUGAAUAUUUGUAUUGAAUAUUGGUCAAAGUUCAAUUCGUAGACCGUAUCAAUGAUCGCAAUCAAUUCGUUGUAAAAACCUUCAGUAUUUACUGAAUCAAGCUACAAAUCGACGGCUAUAGCUGAAGAAUGUAUAACUUUAAUGCAUUGUUGCAUACUUUCAAACCACCAAUAACGUAUUUUUUUAACGGGAAAUUUUGAAAUACCUUCCUGUUUUCUAAAAAAUGUUUGAACAAUUGUAGGGAAUUGACAAAAAUCACACGCAUAUCUCACAAUGAAUAGGGGAAUUACAAAACACAAAUAAUUUUUUCUUCUUUCUUUUUCUAAAUAAUAUACAUAAGCGAAGAUUCACCAUGUCGGAAUUAGAGAUAAGCAAAAUUUGAAUUAGGCCAUCGAAAUAUUCAGGAGAGUGUGUUCACGGAGGAAUUGAGUGAUUUCAUUUGGCAUAAUCACUCAAUAAUUUGCCAUCAAUGUGUCACAAAAAGCGUGAAUAUAUCCAGCUAGCAUUUUUCGAUUCACUCAUAGUCGCGUUGCCAGUUUGCCUUCAACUUGCUGUGUAUGCAAUUGUACAUGCGAAGUUACCUGGGAGCCGUUGGCUACAUUGAAGGAGUAAAAAUGGUCGAAUUAAAUGAUAUCUGAUAAAAAGUGACUGUACCAUUAAAGUUUACCGAUGAUUGUUGACGAUUGUGAAAUAACGCAUGAGGAACGGAGAGAAUGUGGUCUUUUUUUAAAUUAAUGAAUAACAUAUUUUUUGUGUCUGGUUCGUGCUAAUGACUAAAUUAAAUUAAUUAGAGUUUUUUGUGGCAUUUACGAAUAGAAACAAUUGACAGAAGAGAAGAAUGCUCAACAUUUUCGAAGCAGGAAAGAGAAAAUCAAUAUAAUUGACGAGCCGUUCAGUUUGUCACUCUUAUAAUCAAUAAAU